UCUGCCUGGCUUGGGAACAUAGGAGGGAGAGUGACGCUUUAAAUCUUUCCCAGGUAUGAGCAUAAGGGUGUAUAAAGGAAGGGAGAGGCAGGGAGGGGGAGGGGGAGGAAGAAAAGGAGAGUGUCAAGUAAUACGUAGUGAGUCUGCCUGGCUUGGGAACAUAGGAGGGAGAGUGACGCUUUAAAUCUUUCCCAGGUAUGAGCAUAAGGGUGUAUAAAGGAAGGGAGAGGCAGGGAGGGGGAGGGGGAGGGGGAGGAAGAAAAGGAGAGUGUCAAGUAAUACGUAGUGAGUCUGCCUGGCUUGGGAACAUAGGAGGGAGAGUGACGCUUUAAAUCUUUCCCAGGUAUGAGCAUAAGGGAGGUUAAGGAAGGCGGUGAUGGGGGAGGGAGAAGGGAAGGGAGAUAGUAAAGUGGCUAGGGAGUGGCACACAGAGGAGGGAGAGAGAGUGAACCUUUCAAACUUUCCCGGGCAUGAAUAUAAGGGAGGAGAUGAUGGUGGAGAGAGAAGGGAAGGAACAUUGUAGAGCAACAGUGAAUAUGCUGAGGCAGGGAAUGGCACACAGAGGAGGGGGAGAGUGACCCUUUGUCCUUGUUACAGGUGUGAGUUUUUUACAGUAAAGGAAGGAAGUGACGAGGCGCAGGGCCAGGCCGGGGUGGUGGCCGGUGGAGGUGCGGGCCGUGAGUGCCAGGGUGCCACGCUGGAGGCGCCAGGUGGUGAGGGGGAGGGGGAGGAGAGGGGGAGAGGGAGUGAAGGGAAAGAUGCAAAAGGUUGGUGAGAAUAUGUGAAAAGGCAGUGGCUGAAAAGGAAGAGGAAAGGAGAAUGAAUAAGGAAGAGGAUAGGAAAGGAGAGGGAAGAAGGGAAGGGAGGGAGAAGGAGGCAAAGAGUAAGAAAGGCAAAAGAAAGAAGAGGAAGCAGAUGAGGUGAAGGAAGAGUGAUUAAGAAAGAGUGAGGGAGGAAGGGAAGCGUUUAUGGAGAUAGAGGGAACAUAGAAGAGGAAAUCCUUUAAGGGGAAGGGAGAGGGAAGGAAAUAUAUAAGAACAGAGGGAGGUGGAGGAGGAGGGAGACAAGCUACAAGAGUAAUGUGAGGAAAGGGAGUGUGAAAAGAAAUUAUAGGAGAGUUGUUUGGGGGAAGAGAGAGAGGAGGAGGAGAAUGCUUAAAGAAAAGAUGAAGGAAACAAUGAACAAGGAAUGGAUGCACAGGAAGAUGAUUUAGAGGAGAAGAGAGAGGAAAGUAGAGGUGGCUUAGGAGCUGAAAAUGUACAGCAGAAGCAAGGAAGAGAAAACA